rnacentral:rRNA from 1 species
ACGUACACUCCUACGGGAGGCAGCAGUAGGGAAUCUUCCACAAUGGGUGCAAACCUGAUGGAGCAAUGCCGCGUGAGUGAAGAAGGUCUUCGGAUCGUAAAGCUCUGUUGUUAGAGAAGAACACGUGCUAGGUAACUACUAGCGCCUUGACGGUAUCUAACCAGAAAGUCACGGCUAACUACGUGCCAGCAGCCGCGGUAAUACGUAGGUGACAAGCGUUGUCCGGAUUUAUUGGGCGUAAAGGGAGCGCAGGCGGUCUGUUUAGUCUAAUGUGAAAGCCCACGGCUUAACCGUGGAACGGCAUUGGAAACUGACAGACUUGAAUGUAGAAGAGGAAAAUGGAAUUCCAAGUGUAGCGGUGGAAUGCGUAGAUAUUUGGAGGAACACCAGUGGCGAAGGCGAUUUUCUGGUCUAACAUUGACGCUGAGGCUCGAAAGCGUGGGGAGCGAACAGGAUUAGAUACCCGAGUAGUCCC